GGCCGUAUGGGAACCCUUAACCCUAUAAAGGCGUGUAUCAAUUUAACUUUUAGUUUUUUUGAACAUGAUUUCUAGCUGAGAGAAGUUCCUUAUGCUUCCAGAACUGUACCACUAACAAUGCCUGUUAAUGUUCAGACCGAGCGCUGCGGCUUUUAACAAAACUCCCCCCUACAGAAGAUGCCUUCGUCCAAUGGCUCUUACGUGUAAUGGCUCUGGCUCUUAUGUGUAAUGGCUCUGGCUCUUACGUGUAAUGGCUCUGGCUCCUAUGUGUAAUGGCUCUGGCUCCUAUGUGUAAUGGCUCUGGCUCUUAUGUGUAAUGGCUCUGGCUCUUACGUGUAAUGGCUCUGGCUCUUACGUGUAAUGGCUCUGGCUCUUACGUGUAAUGGCUCUGGCUCUUACGUGUAAUGGCUCUGGCUCUUAGGUGUAAUGGCUCUGGCUCUUAGGUGUAAUGGCUCUGGCUCUUAUGUGUAAUGGCUCUGGCUCUUAUGUGUAAUGGCUCUGGCUCUUACGUGUAAUGGCUCUGGCUCUUACGUGUAAUGGCUCUGGCUCUUACGUGUAAUGGCUCUGGCUCUUACGUGUAAUGGCUCUGGCUCUUACGUGUAAUGGCUCUGGCUCUUAAGUGUAAUGGCUCUGGCGUGUAAUGGCUCUGGCUCCUAGGUGUAAUGGCUCUGGCUCCUAGGUGUAAUGGCUCUGGCUCUUAUGUGUAAUGGCUCUGGCUCUUAUGUGUAAUGGCUCUGGCUCUUAUGUGUAAUGGCUCUGGCUCCUAUGUGUAAUGGCUCUGACUCUUAUGUGUAAUGGCUCUGGCUCUUAUGUGUAAUGGCUCUGGCUCUUAUGUGUAAUGGCAUGGCUCUGGCUCUUAUGUGUAAUGGCAUGGCUCUUAUAUGUAAUGGAACUGAGAGUCAUUAUCAAAGGCUACAUCUGCAUCAUCACAUGCUCUGGGGAGCUGUCAAUUGUCCAGGUGUUGAAACACAUGCAGGAUUGCCUGUUUUUUUCCGCUAUUCACACAUUGAUUUCAUGAUCUCUAACUGGGCUGUGAGCAACAUUUGAGGCGUAUAGCCCACCACACGAAUAUUCAAAACACUCAAGCACUGUAGUGUUAGUGACAUACUGAGCAUGACUGCUUUUUUUCCAGGUUAAAUUUGAGGAUUGUGAAAUGAUCUGAAAGAAAGGCAGUCAGCAUCCAGGAGAUUGCUGCUCUGGCCAGAUCCUCCUUAAAUGGUAAGGGUCAGAAAGACACACACAGACCAUCUCUCUAACCCAGGCCUCCUACUUUUCUCUCUCCAGGCAUUUCCCAGGCGAUGAAGGACCAUGUGACCAAGCCAACAUCCCUGCAGGGUCAUCCACCUCAAGUGUAAGGGUUGGCCCAAACCCACCGACCCCCUCCGCGCACACUGCAACUCUCUACAGGAAGCUCGCUUCGCCGCAGGAGUGGCAGAGCAGUUUGCUAUCGCUGAGGCAAAGCUGAAAACCUGGGCCUCUGUGGCUGAUGAGAAAGACGAUGACUAGGAGUUCCUCCAGAACAAUAGAAACACUCUCUCUCUACCCACAGCUCAGACCGCAACGUCCAAGCACGAGCCCCGAGUGCCAUUCCAGGCCGAAACAGCCUGCACUGUGAUUGGCCCACAUCUCAGAACAACCGGGCUUGCCCAUUCCCUAGUGGAUGGUGAGGAUCAGCCUGCACUGCUGCAUCGUCUACAAGUCUGACUGGAGGCCGACAAUCAUGAAGCAGUAGGUUUGACUCCUGCUAUUCAACCUUUCACUCGAAGAGGAUAGGAGUGUGUUUCAGGGUAGAGAGUGGCACUCCUGCCAGAGAAGAUUCUUCUCCAACAGAGGCUCGUCAGGCGUGGCGUCGUUCCAUUAAGAAGACGGGAAGAGGGAGAGCAUUUAAAUGUGAUGUUUCAUCUUGUAUAGUCUGUCAACUCUUAGAAACACUACCUUCAGAAGUUAUUCACACCCCUUGACUUAUUCCACAUUUUGUUGUGUUACAGCCUGAAUUUAAAGUAAAUAGAGAUUUUGUGUCACUGGCCUACACACAUUGACAUUAUGGGGUAAAGUGGAAUUAUAUUUCUAAAUCAAUUAAAAAUGAAAAGCUGAAAUGUCUUGAGUCAAGUAUUCAAAUCUACUAAAGUCACAAGUUGCAUGGAUUCUGUGUGCAAUAAGUGUUUAACAUGCUUUGAAUGACCACCUCAUCUCUGUACCCCACGCAUAAAAUUAAUUGUAAGGUCCCUCAGUCGAGCAGUGAAUUUCAAAAGCAGAUUCAACCACAAAGACCAAAGAGGUUUUCCAAUGCCUCAAAGAAGGGCCACUAUUGGUAGAUGGGUAAAAAAAAAAGCAGACAUUGAAUAUCCCUUUGAGCAUGGGGAAGUUUUUAAUUACACUUUAGAUGGGGUACAAUACACCCAGUCACUACAAAGAUACAUGUGUUCUUAACUCCGUUGCCGGAGAGGAAGGAAAGCGCUCAGGGAUUCUACCAUGAGGCCAAUGGUAACUUUAAAACAGUUAGAGUUGAAUGGCUGUGAUAGGAGAAAACUGAGGAUGGAUCAACAUUAUUGUAGAUCCAUCCUUAAAUAUUCCAAAACAUCCUGUUUGUAAUAAGGCACUAAAGUAAAACUACGGCAAAGAAAUUAACUUUGUCCUGAAUACAAAUACACACUACUGAGUAUUUUCAAGCAUGGUUGUGGCUGCCUCAUGUUAAGGGUAUGCUUGUCAUCAGCAAGGACUAGGGAGUUUUUUUUAGGAUAAAAAGAAACAGAAUAGAGCUAAGCACAGCCAAAAUCCUAGAGGAAAACCUGGUUGUCUGAUUUCCAACACUGGGAGACAUUCACCUUUCAGCAGGACAAUAACAUAAAGCCAAAUAUACACUGGAAUUGAAUGUUCCUGAGAAAAUCCAUGGCAAGACUUAAAAAUGGCUGCCCUAGCAAUGAUCAACAACCAACUUGACGUAUUUCAAAUAAUUGUGGCAAAUAUUGUACAAUCCAGGUGUGCAAAGCUAUUAGAAAUGUACCCAAAGAGAUUCACAGCUGUAAUCAAUGCCAAUGGUGAUUCUAGCAUGUAUUGACUCAGGGGUGUGAAUACUUAUAUAAAGGAGAGAUUUCUGUAUUUCAUUUUCAAUAAAUUUGCAAUUAUGGUGUAUUUUGUGUAGAUGGGUGAGGAAAAAAAUAUAUUUUGAACAUUCUGUAGACACUAACUUAGAGGAUGUCUGGCCUUUACUUAUCAUCCUUCCUUUGUCUCAGCUCUCGUCUCCCUGGAACUUUUCCUCUUCGUUUUCUCUCAAUCCUUGCUAAUGUUACUAUGUAUUUGAGUUAACUGGAUUACUGAGAAGUGUUAUUUCAUUGGUUCUCUAUGGUUGUUAGUGUUGGACCAUGCUGUGAAGUUUUGAUCAUUC